rnacentral:rRNA from 1 species
GAUAAACGCUGGCGGCGUGCAUAACACAUUCAAGUCGAACGGACAAGGGGCUUCGGCCCUGCGUUAGUGGCGGACGGGUGAGUAACGCGUGAGUAACCUGCCUCAGAGUGGGGAAUAACGUCUGGAAACGGACGCUAAUACCGCAUAACACACAGUUCUCGCAUGGGAGUUGUGUCAAAGAUUUAUGCUCUGAGAUGGACUCGCGUCCGAUUAGGUAGUUGGUGAGGUAACGGCCACCAAGCCGACGAUCGGUAGCCGGACUGAGAGGUUGAACGGCCACAUUGGAACUGAGAUACGGUCCAGACUCCUACGGGAGGCAGCAGUGGGGAAUAUUGGGCAAUGGGCGCAAGCCUGACCCAGCGACGCCGCGUGAAGGAGAAGGUUUCGGAUUGUAAACUUCUGUCGACAGGGACGAAACAAAUGACGGUACCUGUUGAGAAAGCCACGGCUAACUACGUG